AACGAACGCUGGCGGCAUGCCUAACACAUGCAAGUCGAACGAGACCUUCGGGUCUAGUGGCGCACGGGUGCGUAACGCGUGGGAACCUGCCCUUAGGUUCGGAAUAACUCCCCGAAAGGGGUGCUAAUACCAGAUAAUGUCUUCGGACCAAAGAGUUAUCGCCUUUGGAUGGGCCCGCGUUGGAUUAGCUAGUUGGUAGGGUAAAAGCCUACCAAGGCGACGAUCCAUAGCUGGUCUGAGAGGAUGAUCAGCCACACUGGGACUGAGACACGGCCCAGACUCCUACGGGAGGCAGCAGUGGGGAAUAUUGGACAAGGGGCGAAAGCCUGAUCCAGCAAUGCCGCGUGAGUGAUGAAGGCCUUAGGGUUGUAAAGCUCUUUUACCCGGGAUGAUAAUGACAGUACCGGGAGAAUAAGCUCCGGCUAACUCCGUG
rnacentral:rRNA from 1 species